rnacentral:rRNA from 1 species
UACGGAGGGUGCGAGCGUUGUCCGGAAUCAUUGGGCGUAAAGCGCGCGUAGGCGGCCCGGUAAGUCCGUUGUAAAAGUCGAAGGCUCAACCUUCGAAAGCCGAUGGAUACUGCCGGGCUAGAGUACGGAAGAGGCGAGUAGAAUUCCUGGUGUAGCGGUGAAAUGCGCAGAUAUCAGGAAGAACACCCGUGGCGAAGGCGGCUCUCUGGGACGGUACUGACGCUGAGACGCGAAAGCGUGGGGAGCGAACAGG